AUAGCGUAUAUUAAAGUUGUUGCAGUUAAAAAGCUCGUAGUUGAACUUCAGGCCUGGUCGUUCGGUCCGCCUCACGGCGUGUUUACUGUAUCGACUGGGCCUUCCUUUCUUGGUGAGCUCUAUAUGCCCUUUAUUGGGUGUGUGGAUGUCUGGCCAGGACUUUUACUUUGAAAAAAUUAGAGUGUUCAAAGCAGGCCUAUGCCCGAAUAUAUUAGCAUGGAAUAAUAGAAUAGGACGUUGCGUUCCUAUUUUGUUGGUUUCUAGGAUCGCCGUAAUGAUUAAUAGGGAUAGUCGGGGGCAUUAGUAUUCACAUGCUAGAGGUGAAAUUCUUGGAUUUUGUGAAGACUAACUUCUG
rnacentral:rRNA from 1 species